UUAAAUUGAAGAGUUUGAUCAUGGCUCAGAUUGAACGCUGGCGGCAGGCCUAACACAUGCAAGUCGAACGGUAACAGGAAACAGCUUGCUGUUUCGCUGACGAGUGGCGGACGGGUGAGUAAUGUCUGGGAAACUGCCUGAUGGAGGGGGAUAACUACUGGAAACGGUAGCUAAUACCGCAUAACGUCGCAAGACCAAAGAGGGGGACCUUCGGGCCUCUUGCCAUCGGAUGUGCCCAGAUGGGAUUAGCUUGUUGGUGGGGUAACGGCUCACCAAGGCGACGAUCCCUAGCUGGUCUGAGAGGAUGACCAGCCACACUGGAACUGAGACACGGUCCAGACUCCUACGGGAGGCAGCAGUGGGGAAUAUUGCACAAUGGGCGCAAGCCUGAUGCAGCCAUGCCGCGUGUAUGAAGAAGGCCUUCGGGUUGUAAAGUACUUUCAGCGGGGAGGAAGGGAGUAAAGUUAAUACCUUUGCUCAUUGACGUUACCCGCAGAAGAAGCACCGGCUAACUCCGUGCCAGCAGCCGCGGUAAUACGGAGGGUGCAAGCGUUAAUCGGAAUUACUGGGCGUAAAGCGCACGCAGGCGGUUUGUUAAGUCAGAUGUGAAAUCCCCGGGCUCAACCUGGGAACUGCAUCUGAUACUGGCAAGCUUGAGUCUCGUAGAGGGGGGUAGAAUUCCAGGUGUAGCGGUGAAAUGCGUAGAGAUCUGGAGGAAUACCGGUGGCGAAGGCGGCCCCCUGGACGAAGACUGACGCUCAGGUGCGAAAGCGUGGGGAGCAAACAGGAUUAGAUACCCUGGUAGUCCACGCCGUAAACGAUGUCGACUUGGAGGUUGUGCCCUUGAGGCGUGGCUUCCGGAGCUAACGCGUUAAGUCGACCGCCUGGGGAGUACGGCCGCAAGGUUAAAACUCAAAUGAAUUGACGGGGGCCCGCACAAGCGGUGGAGCAUGUGGUUUAAUUCGAUGCAACGCGAAGAACCUUACCUGGUCUUGACAUCCACGGAAGUUUUCAGAGAUGGAAUGGUGCCUUCGGGAACCGUGAGACAGGUGCUGCAUGGCUGUCGUCAGCUCGUGUUGUGAAAUGUUGGGUUAAGUCCCGCAACGAGCGCAACCCUUAUCCUUUGUUGCCAGCGGUCCGGCCGGGAACUCAAAGGAGACUGCCAGUGAUAAACUGGAGGAAGGUGGGGAUGACGUCAAGUCAUCAUGGCCCUUACGACCAGGGCUACACACGUGCUACAAUGGCGCAUACAAAGAGAAGCGACCUCGCGAGAGCAAGCGGACCUCAUAAAGUGCGUCGUAGUCCGGAUUGGAGUCUGCAACUCGACUCCAUGAAGUCGGAAUCGCUAGUAAUCGUGGAUCAGAAUGCCACGGUGAAUACGUUCCCGGGCCUUGUACACACCGCCCGUCACACCAUGGGAGUGGGUUGCAAAAGAAGUAGGUAGCUUAACCUUCGGGAGGGCGCUUACCACUUUGUGAUUCAUGACUGGGGUGAAGUCGUAACAAGGUAACCGUAGGGGAACCUGCGGUUGGAUCACCUCCUUACCUUAAAGAAGC
rnacentral:rRNA from 1 species